ACAGAUUCUGCAGGUGACGACUACAAUACAACCACUGGUGGUGCCCGAUAUAAUACCGAGACUGCUGGUGGCAGAUACAACACAACCGUUGGCGGUGGUGAUUAUGAAAAAUCGUCUGAUGAUUAUGAAAAAUCAACUGAUGAUUAUGAGAAAGAAAAGAAGGAACAUAAGCAUAAGGAACACCUCGGAGAGAUGGGAGCCCUCGCUUCUGGGGCUUUCGCUUUGGUAAAUAUCUCUUCUUUUAUUUUUAUUGCAGAUUAAAAUAUAAUUCGUCAAUUCUGAUCAAUUGGACAUGAUAAAUAUUUUACUAUCUUUAUUCCUUAAUCACGUUCAGUACGAGAAGCACGAGUCAAAGAAAGACCCCGAGCAUGCCCAAAGGCACAAGAUAGAAGAAGGAGUUGCAGCAGCUGUCGGGGUUGGUUCGGGUGGAUAUGCUUUCCAUGAGCAUCACGAGAAGGAAGAGGCCAAGGAUGACGAAGAAAGGGCAGAGGGAGAGGGAAAGAAGAAACACCACUUGUUUUAACUAUUUAAAAAUAUAUAUUGUCUUAAUUUUCUAUUGUCAUGUGCUAUGCUAUAAAUAAAAUUCCAAUAUCAAUAUUGUUCUAAUUAUGUAAUGCGAGACGGGGAGGACUCUAACUCAGAAAACUAGAGCAUUGAAGUAAGAAAUAUGGUGUCGUGUUAUAGUCCUUCCUCGCCCACGCCACUAUUAUCUUACUGUGUUUAGUGUGAGUUGGUAAUAAAAUUACUUCUUGGUUUGCUCUACAUGAGACAUGAUUAAGAAUUUUUUUUUUUUUUUUUUAUUAAUUGAAGCAUAUUUUUAUUUAAUUUUAUAUCAAUAUCUCAAUAAUUGCCUAGGUUGGGAGACGUUCAAAGUCAUCCUCAAUUUAAUUGUCUUUGACAACUUGAAAAAAAAAAAAAAAAAAAAUUACACCUUGAAAUUAAGAUGUCAACUACCACCAAAGAAGUUAGAUUUCAAUAAUGCCGAAUUAAAUAAAUAUAACAUCAAAACUCAGUGGAUAUAAAUGUUGGGCCCUUCAGUUUUCCAAAAAAAAUUAUCUCUAUAAUAAUGAUCUUCCACAAACGUGGCACCAUGUUGCUCUUACAUUACAUGGCCUACGAAAGCAAAUAUCCAAAUAAUGCAAGAAAAAUCAAUAAAAUACUCAUUUUAAAGCAAGAGUGGUAAUUAAGCAAUAACUGUGAAUAGAGAAUAUUCUGAAUAGGUAGUAAAUGAUACCUGUUACUAUUCUUAACUGCACGAGAAUUAAGUCACCAUCUUGCCGAUAGAUUUUAAUGAAUUCUAAGGAUAAAAGAAAAUCUAAAUCGUUGUGUUCAGGUAGUGGUGGUGAUGGCAAUUGACUGGUGAUGGUUUGAGCAGGUGAAUAAGGGAAUGGGGAUCGUUGGAGAAUAAAACUUGUUUAUUCAUUUCAAAAAUACUUAGUGAUGAUACCAAAAAUCGUACCUGCUGAUUUUCCGAGUUUGAUGAUUCGGGUUGAUCACAAUAGCGGUCUUCUGAUACCUGAAAUAAAGGCAACGAGGUAUGUAGUGUACUUCUAGUAGGAUCGUGUUGGUUGGAUGUUUUUAUCCAAGAGAAUUUCUAUUUAUAAAGAGUGUCCUACUUGUAAUGGAAUUGUUUGACAAGCGGUAUCAGGGUUGAUGUAGAAUCCUUGGGUGUUUAGCUUUGUUUGUUAGGUACCCAGGUCCUAGGAGGCAUGUAGGUGGCGUAUGUCUCGAGGACUAUUCUCCAGGACCUGAGAGAAUGUAAAUAUGUCCUAGAGGUAUCUCGAGGACUACGAUACCUCGAGGACUUAGGGAGACCCGAGGACCAUAGCAGAGAAAUGAGAUGGGGUAUACAUGGAGUCCUCGGGAUAAACUCCUCGGGGUAUAUAAAUAUUGACAUAGUCACUGGCCCCCGUGCACUCGUCCUAGAGAUCGAGCUCUUAGGAUGGGGUGCACAUAGGUUAUGUCAUUUCUCGAACCUUCGUCGAGAAGUGAUGGCUGAUGAUAUAGGUCGAGAUAUGACCGUUGCAGAGAGUGGCUUGGAUUUGUGACACGUGUCUUCGUGGACGGUCGUAGAUAGCGACCUUUGGCCUCCCAUCGUUUUCACCUAUAAAUACUGUUGUUCUCACCUUUAUUUUUCACUUUUACCCACUGUAAAUCAGAGUUCUGCGAGGUCGUGCUCGAGAAAAACACUUUGGGAACUUCUCAAGUCGUCGGGAACUCCAGGUAAGGCUCGAGACUUUAAGUUGUUCAUAAGCUAAGUCUUAAGUUUGCUAAGUGAUGUCGAGUAGUGAGGGUCGAGAAUCUUCUAGUAGUUUUAGUAGUAGUGAGGACGUAGGGACCUCGAUAAUACCAACGGCUAUUCCCCAGAGGCUACUUCCGAGGCCCAGGUUAAUAUGGUUUUUGAGUANNNNNNNNNNNNNNNNNNNNNNNNNNNNNNNNNNNNNNNNNNNNNNNNNNNNNNNNNNNNNNNNNNNGCUAGGGAAUAUGGUAUAAUGCCUAAUUGCGAUGUUAGAUUUCCUGACCCCGAGGAUAGGAUUAUUCGAGCACGACGAGGGGAGUUUGUUAUUUUUAGGGAGACCCUUAAGGCUGGCUUUAGGUGGCCCCUUCACCCCUUCUUUAUUGCUCUAUUAGACGAGCACUCCAUGUGCCCGGGGCAGUUAGUGCCCAACGCCUGGAGAAUGCUCGUUUAUUUUUUUAUAGCAUGUAGAUACUUAGGUAUCGAGCCCAACAUUGGCCUCAGCAAAUUAGUGUUCGAGCUUAAGAAGCAUCCUCGAUACACUUGUUUUGGCUACCUCUCGACGAUUGGGGGUUUUAAAGUCCCGAGGAUGGCGAGCUCUUUGAAGGGGUGGAGGGAGGGGUGGUUUUAUGUUAUAGCCCAAGAACCCGAUCUUCCUUUCUGGCCUGAUUGGGGAAUCCCCGACGCCGAGAAAUUCUGUGAGGGCCAGGUGUAUCCGGAUGUUUUGGAAGAGCAUAGGAGGAUGCUGGUCGGGCUUAGCCCCCUUUUCUUGACGAUGAAGGAGAUUGGGGAAGAGGUUAUAGACCUGGCAGAUAUUAGAGGCGUCGAGGGUAGGGAUGUUCCUUUAUUAUUAUUUUUUGAAAAAUACCCUGACCUUAUGCUCGUUCUAAAAUGUUUGUAAAUUUUUGCAGGUAUGUCUUUUGAUCCUCGGGCUCUUUGAAACUUUGUCAGCACAAGGGCAGACGCUCGAAAAGCAAGAAGAGGCCUCGAGGGACUCCUGAGGGUGCGAGGGGGCCUGGCGAAACUUCUCGAGCACAUCCACAAGUCUCGACCCCUCUGCAACCGAACCUUAGAUCUCCCACUCCUCGGGUCGUCGCUCCUCGGCCUCCUUCUGAAGUGGUUGACCUUGAGGAUGACCCGUCUCUCACCGGGGACUUUGAGACUUGCCACCUCGCUCCUGAGCUCAUAAAUAAAUACAAGGAGGAGGUCAAGCUCGAGGAUGGGAUGAAGGUCCUCGAGGGUCUUACGGUGAAGGUAAUCUUCGGGCUUUCGACUUUAAUCUCAAGUUUUUUUUUUGUCGAGAUUAAUACUUGUCAUUUUCUUCAUUUUUUCCAGAUGUUGAGUAUAGCUUGAGAACUUUCUCUGCAAGGGCUCGAGGAGGCCAAGAGGGCAGCUGGGGUCGAGACGUCCAUGGCCUCUAAGGACAGCAGGAUUCAAGACCUCGAGGCACAGGUCGAGGUUUUAUUGAAGGAGCGUGAUGAAGUGAGAAGGGAGGCUGCAAAGGCCAGGGAUGACCUGGUUGUAGCAAAGGAUGAGGUCGAGGGCUCGAGCUCAUCCAGAAGACAGAGGAUUUUGGGCGCGAGCUCACGGCUGUCAGGGAGAGGGCCUGGGAGGAGUUUAAAACGUCCGAGGACUGCGACAAGAUAAAAGGGGAGUACGCGUCGGGGGCGUACUUCCAUGCUCUGAAAGAAGCCCGGGCCUUCCUCCGUCAGAAGUUGCCCGACGUCACUCCGGACGACCUGAAGACAGUGCCUUCCAUUGCUGAUACAUUGGAGCUCUCGGGUUCGGAAGAUGGAGGAGGAUCAGGCGGAGAUGAGGACGACGGUCUUGAGGACGACGUUGAGAUUGACAUCAGCAACCUCGACCCUCCUUUUGGCCAUAUUGGAUGACUUCCCCCCAUCCCGAUCUUUUGUAAUUUUUGUUUAAAGUUUGAACAUGUAUUUUGAUCGAGGACUAUGUAUGUUCUAAAGUUAAUUUCUUUGAACUAUUUAUCUCGACCCCUUGGACCUCAUACACUCGAGCAAACAAAAAUGGAAAUUAACUGCUCAUGCAACAUUGAAGAGUUUACUCGAGGAUUCUACAACUCGAGCAUAUUUAAGGGAUUAAAAAUUGAGUGACAUUCUCGAGGACUGUAAAACCUCGAGCACAACAAACUUAAAAAGUGAUAAUGUGACAUUCUCAAGGACUGUAAACCUCGAGCACAACUAACUUAAAAAGGUUGGGUUGUGCGACGUUCUCGAGGACUUUUAAACCUCGAGCACAAUUAACUUAAAAAGUUGGGUUGCGAUAUUCUCGAGGACUUCUAACCUCGAGCACAACUAACUUAAAUAGUUGUUAUUUGCUCGUGAUAUCCUCGAGGGAUUGUCAAAAAUGAUGUAGGAUUUUUGUAUGUCCUCGGGUGAUACUAUAACGGUUUACGCUUGAGUAUAUGAUCAAGACUUUUUGUGCUUGCGCAGGGCAAUGCUUUGGUGCUUGCGAGGGGUAAGGCUUUUUUGAGUGCUUGCGCGGGGCAAGGCUUUUUUAAGUGCUUGCGUGGGGCAAGGUUUUUUGUGCUUGCGCGGGGCAAGGCUUUUUUAUGCUUGCGCGGGGCAAGGCUUUUUUAUGCUUGCGCAGGGCAAGGCUUUUUUGAGUGCUUGCUCGGGGCAAGGCUUUUUGUGCUUGCGUGGGACAAGGCUUUUGUGUUUGCUCGGGGCAAGGCUUUGAUGAUUCCUGGGCGCAAAGUAAACAAAAGGGCUGUUAUACCCGAGGUUUGAAUUUACUAAUUUUUCGGACUGGACUUGGAUUUAUAUUGUAUCCAAACUGCCUACGUACCCAAAUGGGAUCAAGCCGAACGUAGUUCAUUAUGAGAGAAAACAAAAAACAUGCUUGGGCAUGCAGGCCCGCUAAACUAGAGAAAUAAAAUGCAAGGGCGCGCAUGCCCGAGGAACCAAAAAUAAUAUUCAGAAGAAAAAAUGCAGGAAUAAAAAGAAAAUCUCCUAGAUGUCAUCGAGAAUGUUACUUGUAGUAUAAUUUCAGAUUAUCAGCGUUCCAGGGCCUUGGAAGAGGUCUACCCGAAGUGUCUUUUAGACUGUAUGCUCCCUUGCGAACCUGUCGUAUGACCUCAAAGGGUCCUUCCCAGAUGGGCCCGAGCUUCCCAGGGGGGUGACCUGCAGCUUCGGCCCUCCUCAGGACCAAGUCGCCUGCUCUGAACCUCCGAGUCUUGACUUUGCUAUUAAAAUGUUUUGCUGUCUUAGUUUGUAAGAGGCCACCUUUAUAGUGGCUUGCUCCCGCACUUCUUCCAAGAGAUCAAGAUGUUCAGUUGUAUGCUCCAAGAUUUCUGGCACGAGCCUCCUAUGGCUCGGGAGUCUAAUUUCUACCAGGACCAUUGCUUCAGUGCCAUAGGCUAACAUAAAGGGGGUUUCUCCUGUGGUUGUCCUAUGAGUUGUUCUAUACGUUCAAAGUAUAGAAGGCAGCUCGUAGGACCAAGAUCCCCUAGCAUUGCCUAUUCUUGUUCGGAGGUCUUGUAAUAUAAUUCGAUUUGUUACCUCGGCCAGACCAUUGCUCUGAGGAUGUGAAACUGAUGUCAGACGGUGAUCAAUCCCAAGGUUUGAGCAAAAGUCCCUAAACUGUUGAUUGUCAAAUUGCCUGCCAUUGUCGGUGAUGAGGACCUUUGGUAUCCCAAACCUGCAAAUGAUAGAUCUCUAAGUGAAGGCUCUUAGCUUGGGCUCCGAUAUUGUGGCGAGAGGUUCGGCCUCUACCCAUUUUGUGAAGUACUCUACUGCUACAGCAACAAACUUUAAUUGACCUCUAGCCACAGGAAAGGGACCGAGGAUAUCGACUCCCCAUUGUUCAAAUGGGGCCGAACAGUUAAUGUUGGUUAGGUCUUCGGCUGGUGAGUGGAUAACAUUACCAAACCUCUGGCACCUAUCACAUCUUUUAACAUAUUCUGAGGUGUCUUUUUUCAUAGUUGGCCAAUAGUACCCAUAUCGUACGAGUUUAAAGGCCAAGGCCCUGGCUCCUUGAUGAUUCCUGCACACACCUUCAUGAACUUCAGCAAGGGCCUGAGAUAAUUCUGAUGGCCUGAGACACCUUAGGUACGGAAGAGUAAUACUUCUGCGGAAAAGGACACCGCUGAUCAUGCAGUACCUAGGAGCUCGGGCUCUGAUGCUUCUGGCCAACCUGGCAUCGCUUGGUAGAUUUCCACUUGUGAGGAAUUCGAUGAUUGGGUCCAUCCAGGAUGGUUCGUUGUCAAUGUCCAUGAUGUCGAGGAUUUGGCUGAUGCUGGGUUCUGUGAUGAUUUUAAUGUGAACUGUUCUGUCAAGGCCGUCCACCCCCAUGAACACAAGCCUGGAUAAUGCAUCGGCUUUUCCGUUGUCCUUUCAAGCAAUUUUUGCAAUUUCACAACUCUUGAAUUUUCGUUGAAGAUCCUGAACCUUCAUAUAGUACAAACUCAUUUUCUCGUCUUUCCUUUCAAAUGAACCUUCAAUCUGUCCGACCACCAGUUGUGAGUCGCUGAAUAUCUUUAUGAACUCGAGCUCAAGGCAAAGGGCUAGCUCAAGAGCAAUAACGACGGCCUCAUACUCGGCCUUGUUGUUGGUUGCUUCAAACUUGAACCUGAGAGCGCAUUGAAUUUCUGUUUGUUUGUCAGGGCUGAUGAUGACGACCCCUGCGCCCAAGCCCGAGGAGUUGGAUGCUCCAUCCACAAAAAUUUGCCAAGUGUCCAAAUUAGUACUCAUGCUCGAGCUGUCACCUGGCCCUCGAGGCCUAGGGGUUAGUUCUGCAAUGAAGUCGGCUAGAGCUUGGGCUUUGAUAGAUGGGCGUGGUUUGAAUUCUAUGUCAAAUUCUCCAAGCUCGAUUGCCCAUUUCAUCAGUCUUCCCGAUACGUCCGGCUUCUGAAGUAUAUGCCUAAGUGGUUGAUUAGUGAGCACCACAAUAGGGUGAGACUGAAAAUAUUACCGGAGUUUUCGUGCUGCUAUAACCAAGGCAAGGGCAAGUUGUUCCGCCAAAGUAUACCUUGUUUCCGCAUCCAGUCGGACCUUGCUUGCAUAGUAGAUUGGUUGCUGGACUUUGUUAACCUCUUUCACCAAGACCCGGCUGACCGCGUUUUGAGACACGGCCAAGUACAAAAAUAAGGUGUCACCAGGUUCAGGCCUAGUGAGAAUAGGAGGAGAUGCCAAUGUCUACUUGAGCUCCUGAAAAGCUUUCUCACAGUCUUCACUCUAAUCGAAGCCUUGGUUUCCUCUGAGGACUUUGAAAAAGGGAUAGCACCUGUCUGAUGCUCGGGACAUGAACCUGUUCAAGGCUGCUAUCCUAUCAGUCAACCUCUGUACCUCUUUCUUGUUCCUUGGUGAUUCCAUAGAUGCCAAGGCUUGUAUUUUAUCAGGGUUGGCCUCUAUCCCCCGGUGAGUGAUCAUAAAGCCCAAGAACUUGCCCGAGGCCACGCCAAAUGCACAUUUUUUCAACUUCAUUCCGUACUUUCGCAAGGUGUCAAAAACCUCUUCAAGAUCUGAAAUAUGCUGGUCCACCUGUUUGCUCUUGACCACCAUGUCAUCAACGUACGCCUCCACGUUCCUUCCAAUCAAGUUAGCAAAGACUUUGUUGAUGAGUCUUUGGUAUGUUGCCCCUGCAUUCUUCAAACCGAAAGGCAUGACCUUAUAACAGUAUAUGGCGGAAUCGGCCAUGAAUGAUGUCUUUUCUUGAUCUUCCUCGGCCAUGAGGAUUUGAUGAUAACUAGAAAAUGCAUCCAAGAAGCUGUACAACUUAUGUCCGGACGUGCUAUCCACCAAGUUGUCAAUCCGUGGUAGGGGAUAACUAUCCUUUGGACAUGCUUUGUUAAGAUCUGUGAAGUCAAUGCAGACCCUCCACUUACCAUUGACCUUCUUUACUAAAACAACAUUGGGAAGCCAAUCGGGAUAUUGGACCUCCCGAAUGAACUAAGCACUAACGAGUUUGUUAAUUUCUUCGCGAAUGAUCUCCCGACGUUCUGGGGCAAACUGUCUUUUCCUCUGCUUUACUGGUCUGGCCCCUGGGCUAAUGUUAAGCCUAUGGACUGCAAUUUUAGGGUCUAUCCCUGACAUAUCCUCAACCUUCCAGGCAAAAAGUCAAUGUUGCGAGAUAAGCAACCAACAAGUUUUGUCUUUAGGGUGACGUCAAGAUCCCGACCAAUAGUCGCCUUCUUAUCAUGCUCGAGCUCAAUUUCCAUCAAUUCUUCGACAGGGGCAUCCUCAGCAGGGGGUUGGUUUGGAGCGGACGAGCUUGCUGGUGGAAGACCUGAACGUGUGUUUACCAUGGCUUUUGGUAGCGGUUCCCACAGACGGCGCCAAUGAUGAUACCAAAAAUCGUACCUACUGAUUUUUCGAGAUUGAUGAUUCGGGUUGAUCACGAUAGCGGUCUUCCGAUACCUGAAACAAAGACAACGAGGUAUGUUCUCGUCGCCCCUCCGAUGCUUAAGUCAGAAAGGGAAAUAUAAGCGUGAGGCUAUGUGCUGAAGAAUAAUGAAAAAACGUACCUGAAUAAUGGCUCAAGGUUCUACUUUUAUAGGGUUGGGUAGUGUACUCCUAGUAGGAUCGUGUUGGUUGGAUGUUUUUAUUCAAGGAAAUUUCUAUUUAUAAAGAGUGUCCUACUUGUAAUGAAAUUGUUUGACAAGCGGUAUCAGGGUUGAUGUAGAAUCCUUGGGUGUUUAGGUUUGUUUGUUAGGUACCCAGGUCUUAGGAGGCAUGUAGGUGGUGUAUGUCUAGAGAACUAUUCUCGAGGACCUGAGAGAAUGUAAAUAUGUCCUCGAGGUAUCUCGAGGACUACGAUACCUCGAGGACUUACGGAGACCCGAGGACCAUAGCAGAGAAAUGAGAUGGGGUAUACAUGGAGUCCUCGGGAUAAACUCCUUGGGGUAUAUCAAUAUUGACAUAGUCACUUAGGAUUGUUGCUGAAUUUUUUAUUUUAUUAUUAUUAUUUUUUAAAUAUUUUUUGGGCAGAAGAGCAUCUACACUAAAGUCCUUGUUCCCUUGGGCAGAAGGAUCUUUGAAAGCCGUGGCGGGGGGCUUUGAUCGUGAAAGUCCUACAGGAAUCAGUGGGGUACAAUAGACUGGACCAAGGUAAGAGACCUCAUGUGGAAAUUGAAAAAUGGCUUCGAAAUAGUGGAUCUUGACUAGGUUCUAUCUGCUGAGGGACUAAUCAAGGAAGGCUUAUCUAUAUGUAUUUAUUGAAGGAGGCCCUCGAAGAUAUUUCAUAGUGUAAAGCUAAUAUAAAAAAAAAAAAAAUACUAUUUACAAUCAGUGUUUACAGUAGUAAUCUUAUUACGUGGCGGCUUGUUAUUUGGGGGCAUUAAUUUCAUGUAAUUCUAUUGCCUCAAACAACAAAUUAUCAUAUGAGAUGAUUCUUGCAGUCGUUGGUUAUGAAUAACAAACUUAAUAUAAAAAUAGAUUAAGGAUCAAGUCUGAGGGUGGGUGAAACAAAAUAAAGUAGUUAUAAAUUGGCAUGCGAAACCAAAAUGAAACUUUCCUAGUCCCUGUUUGGCUCCCCUUUUUUUUCAGAUUUUAAUGUUUGGAAUAGUAUUUUUUUAGAGCAUGUAUAAUUGAAAAAGAAGAAAAUUUUUCGAUUUAUAUAUAAUAUUAUUUUAUAAAAAUUUGUGUAAUUAAAAAUAAGAGAGGAAAAUUAAAAAGAAAGGGAGCCAAACAUGGGCUUAUUCAGUUUUGAACUAUAAGAAUGCUAGACUGAAGAUCAUCAUGCUAUUUAGUUGAUUUCUUUUUAUUUUUAAUUUAAAGAGGGGAUAAUUGCGUCAUUUUACAUUGCUUUAACGGUCAAAAUUGACGAAGGGACGGGAUUUGCUAUACUUUUGAAAAGUUUAGACGGUAUGUGCUAAAGAGAAGAGAUGAAAUUAUGAUUAUGCCCGGGGUAACAUCACAAUGCACAAUAUGUGAUGCAAAUAUUCAUAUAAUUAAAAAAUGUUGACAUAAUUAUGUGGCCAACCUCUUAACCUGCCAGUUUUCAGUUGGUGAGAUACUAUGCAAUUGAACUUGGCCACGUGUUCACUUCUCCGUAUAGUAAAAUUUUACGACGUUAACUAGGGUUAGACAUCGUUGUCACACAAAAUGACAAGUAGCUAAGCUAGUUGAUCACGAUUCAUGAACAUUACUAUUGGUAAAAAUGGAAAUCAACUACAAAAUUGUCCAUCGAGUAUAAAAAAACGAAUGGUAAACUCUGUUUGUAUCAAUACUAAAGAGAUCCGUGAACGAUAGAAGAUCCUAACCGUCCAACUUAUGGGUCCACUCCCUGGCAUGAAAUCAUACUAUAAAUUGCACAAUCUAGAAGCAAUGACAACACAACUCACUAGGGUUAACAAUUUUCAUUUAUUAUCUAGCAUUUUACAUUUAACUGCACUUCCACCACAACCACCCCCACCAUCAUCAUGGCUGAAGAGAAGAAGCACCACCACCACUUCCACCACGACAAGGACGAGGACAAGCUAGUCGAGGCAGUUUACUCCGACAGCGCCUACGGUACUGAGAAAUACGAGAAAGAAAAGAAGGAACAUAAGCACAAGGAACACCUCGGCGAGAUGGGCGCAACUGCUGCUGGUGCCUUUGCCCUGGUAAAUUCUCUUGUUUUGUUGUGGCCAGUUUCAUAAUUUAUCAAACUAUCUCAUCUAAAAGAUUAAGGUCUCCAAUUUUUUGGGCAAAGGUCUGACACGUGGACAAUUUUUGUUCUUUAAUAACGUUUAGUAUGAGAAGCACGAGUCAAAGAAAGACCCCGAACAUGCCCACAAGCACAAGAUUGAAGAAGAAAUAGCAGCAACAGUUGGGGUUGGAGCCGGCGGAUAUGCAUUCCACGAGCAUCACGAGAAGAAGGAAGCCAACAAAGAAGAAGAAAGGGCUGAAGGAAAGAAGCAUCACCACCUCUUUUAACUAUUGCCAGUGCUUGAUUUCUAUGGUUUUAUGUUCUGCCUUAAAUAAUAUUUGUGUGUAACUAAGACUAUGGCUUCACCAGCAAAUGCCUAGUAUAGUAUAUAUGGUGUAGACUGGUAUUCCUGCAGUGUGGUUUGUAAUUACUUGGUGUUCAUUUUGCUCUAUAAAUGAGGACUUCACCUUUUAAUUAAGUAGACUAUGCAUAAUGCAAACUAAGGAGUUCAAAAUGUUUGGAUAAGCUUAACAAGAACUCAAAGUACUUUUAACAAAAGUAGGUUCUUAAACUUUGAGGAAAAUUCCCUGUUGCUACCUUUCAUAAAAGUUUUGAGUCCCAAUUUUGCUAUCAUUCUCUCGAAUCAGCUACCGAUUAUUACUUUGGUAAGUUAUUGCCUCACCAAUUAGCUAAUUAGAUGUUGUUUGAUUGAAGUUACCUCAAGAAGAGCCGGAAUAAUGUUGUUUGAUUGUUAUAAAAUAAUUUAUUGCACGUUUAGUAAGCUUAGUUAGACAAGACAAGGGAUGAAAUUAAAAUUUUUCUUUUUCUUUCUUUCUUUUUUUUUUUUUUUUUAAAGAUCGUUACACACGUACGAUAUUUUCAUAAUUGAGUCGUACUAAAACUUAAAAUCAGGAUUUUAUUUAUUUAUUUUGAUUUUACUCCUAUACUAUUUUAAGACUACUGUUACUUUCUAGAGUGAAUUGUUGAAAUGGUCACUAUAUUUUGUAAAAAAAUUUCAAGGGAUCAUUGAACUUUAAAAAUCACUUAAAUGAUCAUUGAAUUUUGCAAACAAAAUUUACGAGUCACAGAACUCUUAAAAAUCAUUUAAAUGGUUGCUGAAUUUUGCAAAAUAUUUUCAUCCUUGGAAAAUCUUUUGCAAAGUUAAGUGAUCAUUUAGAUUAUUUUUAAAGUUCAGUGAUUUCGUAGAAAUUUUUUGGAAAGUUCAGUGACUAUGUAGGUGAUUUUUAAAGUUUAGUAACCCCUUUGAAAUAUUUUACAAAGUUAACUGACCAUUUAAAUAAUUCACUCUACUUUCUACAAAAAUUUCCAACGUUGGUAUGGUCAAUUAUGUAUAGCCGAAUUGCAUCAAAUGUUGAAUUGGUAGUCCAAAAGUAAUGGAGACAAUAGAAAGUGCUAAGCAUGAUUAAUUACUUUGAUUUUUUAUUAAUUAACCCAUGAGAUAAAGCAGAAAUCUUCGAGAAGAAGGAAGCCAACAAAGAAGAAGAAAGGGCUGAAGGAAAGAAGCAUCACCACCUCUUUUAACUAUUGCCAGUGCUUGAUUUCUAUGGUUUUAUGUUCUGCCUUAAAUAAUAUUUGUGUGUAACUAAGACUAUGGCUUCACCAGCAAAUGCCUAGUAUAGUAUAUAUGGUGUAGACUGGUAUUCCUGCAGUGUGGUUUGUAAUUACUUGGUGUUCAUUUUGCUCUAUAAAUGAGGACUUCACCUUUUAAUUAAGUAGACUAUGCAUAAUGCAAACUAAGGAGUUCAAAAUGUUUGGAUAAGCUUAACAAGAACUCAAAGUACUUUUAACAAAAGUAGGUUCUUAAACUUUGAGGAAAAUUCCCUGUUGCUACCUUUCAUAAAAGUUUUGAGUCCCAAUUUUGCUAUCAUUCUCUCGAAUCAGCUACCGAUUAUUACUUUGGUAAGUUAUUGCCUCACCAAUUAGCUAAUUAGAUGUUGUUUGAUUGAAGUUACCUCAAGAAGAGCCCGAAUAAUGUUGUUUGAUUGUUAUAAAAUAAUUU
rnacentral:lncRNA from 1 species